GACGAACGCUGGCGGCAGGCCUAACACAUGCAAGUCGAGCGUAGCGGCGGACGGGUGAGUAAUACCUAGGAAUCUGCCUGUUAGUUGGGGAUAACGUUCGGAAACGGACGCUAAUACCGCACACUAUCAGAUGAGCCUAGGUCGGAUUAGCUAGUGGGGGAGGUAAUGGCUCACCAAGGCUACGAUCCGUAACUGGUCUGAGAGGAUGAUCAGUCACACUGGGACUGAGACACGGUCCAGACUCCUAAGGGAGGCAGCAGUGGGGAAUAUUGGACAAGGGGCGAAAGCCUGAUCCAGCCAUGCCGCGUGUGUGAAGAAGGUCUUCGGAUUGUAAAGCACUUUAAGUUGGGAGGCGUUACCGACAGAAUAAGCACCGGCUAACUCUGUGCCAGCCGCCGCGGUAAUUC
rnacentral:rRNA from 1 species